UACGAAGGGUGCAAGCGUUAAUCGGAAUUACUGGGCGUAAGGCGUGCGUAGGUGGUUUGUUAAGUCUGCUGUGAAAGCCCUGGGCUCAACCUGGGAAUGGCGGUGGAUACUGACAAGCCAGAGUGCGGUAGAGGAGGGUGGAAUUCCCGGUGUAGCGGUGAAAUGCGUAGAGAUCGGGAGGAACAUCAGUGGCGAAGGCGGCCCUCUGGACCAGCACUGACGCUGAGGCACGAAAGCGUGGGGAGCAAACAGG
rnacentral:rRNA from 1 species